UGAUAACACUUGGGGGACAGUAUUUGAUUGAUAGAUUUGGAACGCAAGAUGCAACGGUGGCUUGUAAGAUGCUUAAAUAUCCACAUACUAGCCCUGUGGUACACAACGGAGCACACUUUCGGCUUUGGAACAGGACCAAUACUUUUAGAUGAGGUUCAGUGUACGGGAAGUGAAACAAGCUUAUUUCAAUGUUCGCAUGAUGGUUGGAGAAUAAAUGAUUGUAGCCACGGUGAAGAUGUUGGCAUAUCGUGUAAAUAAGAUCAAAGAAGAUCAAGGAAAUAAGCUCGUCACGUCAUCUCAGGGACAUCGUCAGUCUGUCCGGACUUCCAGGAUAAUAUUUCUGUCAACACGGGAAUCUGUACUUUCUCUUUAGUGUCAUUCAUUCCAUAAGCUUUUAUGAUGCUAUUUUUCUUUUAUGUGGCUAAAACUAUGAGGAGAUCAAUGGUGUAGCCACGUUUCUACAGUCUCUUAAGGACGUCCAUACGAAUAUUCUGAAUCUAUUCUUAACUAAAAUAAAGCUAGGUUUGAAGGUCUAUGCGGAUAGACGGCCAUGUUGAGAUUAUCCUUAUCUAUCCGUCUGUAUACAUGUUCAUCUUCCAUCCAAAGAAAAUCUUAAUCGUGUUACAGCUUAAACGAUACAAAAGCUUAAAGGGACUCCACUGAGGUUUAAGAGCCUAAAAACAUAACAUUUGAAUUUUUUACAUAAAUGGGGCACUUUAAACAGAAAUAUAUGCAAAGAUAGUUAAAAUGACAUUAUGCCCAUCCAAGGGUAUAUAGUGAGUGAACUGGUGAAGGUCAAAUAAGUUUUCAUUUUGCCAUAAUGUUUAAAGUCUGGGUUGAUGAUAAUAUACUUGAUAUGAAGAUAGAGGACCGUAUGGAUUUUAUGAAUGUCAAUUUAACUUUUUCACCCGUCAGUCCUGCAGUGUGUCUGUCUGUCAUUCUGCUUAUCAAAAUAAUUCAAAAAGAACAAAAACUAUUUUGCUGAUACUAGUAUUUGGAAUGUAGAUAAAAGUCGAUAUGGAAAUUAUAUGGAUCUCAAUUCACCCGUCCGUCAUUGUGGUCAUUCAAAGAAAUGACAAUUCUGCAAUAACUUAAAAAGUACAAAAUUUGUACAAAUUAUUAUGAUUUCCAAAAUAGUGCAUCAGCAUAAUUUCUUCUAUGUUGUGUUUUGGUACUUAAAGUCUGAGAAAACUUUUUCAAAGUCAAUUUAUAUGGUUUGUGGUAUGGAAACAGAAAACAUAACUCCGGUAGAGGUCUGCUGCAUUGUCAAUGACAAGCUCUUAUUUUCAUUGAUUUAUGAAACUUUUUGAAUUUAAAUUUGAUCCUAUUCUUAAUCUUGAUCCUUGAAUCUUUGUGAACUCAAAGCCUGUGAAAAAGUAUAUAAUUAUCUAUUUUCAUUGUGAUGAAGAAACAGUCAAAAUUGCAAAUGUUCUCUACAUUAAUAAACUGUGAUUUCAAUAGUUUCUCUGUAAAUCAAUUAGCUUACAUUAUUCCAUUAAUUUCCGUUAAUAUUGGUAUAAUAGUUAUAUAACCAUUGAAAUAUUUCAAUACGUAUUAUUUUAAUUUUGCUUAGCUUCAUGUAAUAUUUUUUAAGGAAAUGUCAAUGAGUUCAGUGUGUUAACUUAACCUAUGCUAUAUAUGCUUUUUAGCUCACCUGUCACAAAGUGACAGGGUGAGCUUUUGUGAUCGCUUUCCGUCCGUCGUCCGUCCGUCGUCCGUCCGUCGUCCGUAAACUUUUACUUUAAAUGACAUCUCCUCAUAAACCACUGAGCCAAUUUCAUCCAAACUUCACAGGAAUGUUCCUUUGGUGAUCACCUU